AGGUUUGCAUAUCAGUAGUCAAAGUGAAUUAGACAUACUUCUGAGACAGAGUUGUGUGUGUUUUUUUAUAGAAUUAGAAGGUUUGAAUAUCAGUAGUCAAAGUGAAUUAGACAUACUUCUGAGACAGAGUUGUGUGUGAUUUUUUAUAGAAUUAGAAGUAGGAACAGCAAAAAGUCUGGUGUUGUUCAUUGGUGUCAUAGUUUUCUAGGAAGGCAUUGGUUUAACCUAUCCAGUCACUAAGAAGUGUAACAAUUAAAUGCUGAAACGAGAAAUGGAAACUACAUAUUAUAUACAU